GAUGAACGCUGGCGGCGUGCCUAAUACAUGCAAGUCGAGCGAACAGACGAGGAGCUUGCUCCUCUGACGUUAGCGGCGGACGGGUGAGUAACACGUGGAUAGCCUACCUAUAAGACUGGGAUAACUUCGGGAAACCGGAGCUAAUACCGGAUAAUAUAUUGAACCGCAUGGUUCAAUAGUGAAAGACGGUUUUGCUGUCACUUAUAGAUGGAUCCGCGCCGCAUUAGCUAGUUGGUAAGGUAACGGCUUACCAAGGCAACGAUGCGUAGCCGACCUGAGAGGGUGAUCGGCCACACUGGAACUGAGACACGGUCCAGACUCCUACGGGAGGCAGCAGUAGGGAAUCUUCCGCAAUGGGCGAAAGCCUGACGGAGCAACGCCGCGUGAGUGAUGAAGGUCUUCGGAUCGUAAAACUCUGUUAUUAGGGAAGAACAAAUGUGUAAGUAACUAUGCACGUCUUGACGGUACCCAAUCAGAAAGCCACGGCUAACUACGUG
rnacentral:rRNA from 1 species